UACAGAGGUCCCGAGCGUUGUUCGGAUUCACUGGGCGUAAAGGGUGCGUAGGUGGCUUUGCAAGUCUGAUGUGAAAUCUCCGGGCUUAACCCGGAAAUGGCAUUAGAAAACUGUGAGGCUUGAGGGCUUGGGAGGGGGAACUGGAAUUCUCGGUGUAGCAGUGAAAUGCGUAGAGAUCGAGAGGAACACCAGUGACGAAGGCGAGUUCCUGGACAAGUCCUGACACUGAGGCACGAAAGCCCGGGGGAGCAAACAGG
rnacentral:rRNA from 1 species